GCUCCAUACUACAUUGAAAACACCGGUUCUCGUCCGAUCACCAAAGUUAAGCAAUGUCGGGCCCGGUCAGUGCUUGGGAGGGUGAAGUUUGUCUUUCCUAAUUU